CAGCGCGCGAUGCUACGCAAGCAAGGUGCGGUUCCAUGUCUCGCGAUGGCCCCGACCUCUUCAAAUCUUCAGGCCGUGAAAUCCGACGAGCUGAGAUAUUUGCUGGAGCUUCUUCUCAGACGCAGAUCACCUGUGACGACGUCUUUGGCUGUUCUUGGCCAAAGACGGACUCCGAGGGAUUGGAGUCUGCUGAAAUCCGCUGAAUAUGCUGCCGAGAGCUUGUCUCUCAAAAUAGAAGCUCAGGAAGGUCGCUGACUGCACUUGACAAGGCCCUGCAAGGACGAAAUCGAAGUUAUCCAUCACUGGG